UGAUACACAACUUAUGUCCUGGCAUUUGUGCAGACUGUCCAGGGAGGGUAUCUGAAGGAUGCUGUAAGAGUCUGCAGGAUUUGAGGUAGAGCUGGCUGCCACUUGCCCAGCUCAAUGUGCAGGCAAACAAGCUGCUCCACACGUCCAUCUCUGCAGGAGUGCUGUAAAUGCUGUGAGUUUCUGCAGUGCUUGUAAAGUUCAGUGUGCCUUUGCAGAUGAAAGGCUUGCAGGGAGAACGGUGUGCUGUGCAUUAGGAUCGGCAGAUAUCCUCCGGGAUCUGAACAGAGAAGGACUGUUUGAGAUGUGCACUCUAUGCUUGUCAAAGAGAAAUGUGCCUGAUUUACUAUUAGAAGUGAAACAAACUCAAGACACCUUCUUCUGCUUCUGUUAGCACCGGGAAUGCUCUCCCAGCAGUCUCAAUGAGCUCUCUGGGUACCUUCACCUGGCUUUUCUCUUGUGCCUGGAAGUUCAGCAUUUGGCUGGCACCUUGUCCCAGCUGGUUCCAAUAUUUGAUGGGAUUUGCUGGCAAAUUUAAAAGCAGACUUGCAGCCACACACACGGCAGUCCAGGGAUGGCAAGAUAUAAGAUGUCAGCUGGCCCAAGCAAGCCUGUUCAACUCCCAUCACAGUACCUGCUGCAAAACUCUCCAACCCUCCAGAAAAAGCAGGAACAGACAUAUGUUAGAGGCUGUCAAUACUGCUGCAGAAGCAAACCACUGAGCUCAUGGACUGCCAAUGGCUAAGGUCAGCUACUGGAAAAAUUUACAAAACAGCUAUUACAGCCAGGUAUGAUCCUGCAGAAGGGCUUUCAUUGAGAACUGGUAUUCUUUGCUCAUUUUUGUGCAGUGAGACUCUGCCCUGGAAAACAGCUUCUCAUUCUCAAAACAAGGACAGCAAGAUACGUGCAGAUCAGUUUGGGGUUGGGAUUUAUU
rnacentral:lncRNA from 1 species